rnacentral:rRNA from 1 species
CCAGCAAACCUGAGCAAAGAGAACUUUAGUUCAGGCCCCCGAAACUAGACGAGCUACUCCGGGACAGCCUAUUAUAGGGCUAACCCGUCUCUGUGGCAAAAGAGUGGGACGAGCCCCGAGUAGAGGUGAUAAACCUAUCGAGCCUAGUUAUAGCUGGUUGCUUAGGAAAUGAAUAGAAGUUCAGCCCCCCGGCUUUCUUAGGACCUUGAGGUAAAACUAAUAUUGUCCCAAAGAAACCAGGAGAGUUAGUCAAAGGAGGUACAGCUCCUUUGAACAAGGACACAACCUUAACAGGCGGCUAAGGAUCAUAAUUACUAAGGUAACCUGUUACAGUGG